rnacentral:rRNA from 1 species
UUGGCUCUCGCAUCGAUGAAGAACGCAGCGAAAUGCGAUAAGUAAUGUGGAAUUGCAGAAUUCAGUGAAUCAUCGAAUCUUUGAACGCACCUUGCGCUCCUUGGUAUUCCGAGGAGCAUGCCUGUUUGAGUGUCAUUAAUUUCUCAACCUCACCAACUUUUGUUGUGUGAAGGCUUGGAUGUGGGGGUUGCAGGUCCGCAUUUAUGUGGUCUGCUCCUCU